rnacentral:lncRNA from 1 species
GCGAUCUUCGCAAGUGUCUUAUCGUAAAGAAUUGUUAAAAUUUAGGAUAGGGAAGAAACUAUUUAAUGGAUGAAGCGAGAACAGCAGGAAGAAAAGGAGGGAAGGUAGUUUUCUAGUACAAGCAUAUUGAGAAGAAUGGAGGACAAAGUUUGCGAAGAGCCAGAUUAACUAGAACUGGACCGAGAAAAAGUCCUCACACCUGAGUUCCUUUCUCAACUCCUCUCCACCAACUGAACCGGGAUGGAAACAGACUAGUGAAGUUCUUUCAGUUCCCUUAAAGGUCAGCUGGACCAGUGCUACUCAUCACCGCAGUGCAGCUAACUGGACGGCCCACCGGAGGCGUGGACUCCUCGGGAACAGGCAGCUUGCUAUGAGCCCCCGGCCAGCUGCUGGCACAGCGUGGGCUCCAGCUCCA